GACGAACGCUGGCGGCGUGCUUAACACAUGCAAGUCGAACGGAAAGGCCCCUUUCGGGGGGUACUCGAGUGGCGAACGGGUGAGUAACACGUGAGUAACCUGCCCUUGACUUUGGGAUAACUUCAGGAAACUGGGGCUAAUACCGGAUAGGAGCUCCUGCUGCAUGGUGGGGGUUGGAAAGUUUCGGCGGUUGGGGAUGGACUCGCGGCUUAUCAGCUUGUUGGUGGGGUAGUGGCUUACCAAGGCUUUGACGGGUAGCCGGACUGAGAGGGUGACCGGCCACAUUGGGACUGAGAUACGGCCCAGACUCCUACGGGAGGCAGCAGUGGGGAAUAUUGCACAAUGGGUGGAAGCCUGAUGCAGCAACGCCGUGUGCGGGAUGACGGCCUUCGGGUUGUAAACCGCUUUCGCUCAUGACGAAGCUUUGUGUGACGGUAGUGGGUAAAGAAGCACCGGCUAACUACGUG
rnacentral:rRNA from 1 species